rnacentral:rRNA from 1 species
AAGUCGUAACAAGGUCUCCGUUGGUGAACCAGCGGAGGGAUCAUUACCGAGUUUACAACUCCCAAACCCCCUGUGAACUUAUACCAUUACUGUUGCUUCGGCGGGUUAUUGCCCCGGGGAAAGGACCAGGUGCCGUCAAGGUUCCCUGCCCGCCCCCGGAAACAGGCGCCUGCCGGGGGACUCAAACUCUUCUGUAUUUUUUAUUUUACUGUUAUACUGUCUGAGUACAAAACUAUAAAUGAAUCAAAACUUUCAACAACGGAUCUCUUGGUUCUGGCAUCGAUGAAGAACGCAGCGAAAUGCGAUAAGUAAUGUGAAUUGCAGAAUUCAGUGAAUCAUCGAAUCUUUGAACGCACAUUGCGCCCGCCAGUAUUCUGGCGGGCAUGCCUGUUCGAGCGUCAUUUCAACCCUCAAGCUCUGCUUGGCGUUGGGGAUCGGCAGCCCGGCUUCGCGCCGCGCCGUCCCCCAAAUACAGUGGCGGUCUCGCUGCAGCUUCCUUUGCGUAGUAGCACACCUCGCACCGGAGAGCAGCGCGGCCACGCCGUAAAACCCCCGACUUCUUGUUUUUGACCUCGAAUCAGGUAGGACUACCCGCUGAACUUAA